rnacentral:rRNA from 1 species
UUUUCCGCAAUGGGCGAAACCCUGACGAAGCAAGACCGCGUGGGGGAGGAAGGCCUUGUGGGUCGUAAACCCCUUUUCUCAGGGAAGAAGCUCUGACGGUACCUGAGGAAUCAGCCUCGGCUAACUCUGUGCCAGCAGCCGCGGUAAUAUGGAGGAGGCAAGCGUUAUCUGGAAUUAUUGGGCGUAAAGCGUCCGCAGGUGGCUGCUCAAGUCUGCUGUCAAAGCCCGAAGCUCAACUUCGGAGAGGCAGUGGAAACUGGUCAGCUAGAGAACGGUAGGGGUAGAGGGAAUUCCCAGUGUAGCGGUGAAAUGCGUAGAGAUUGGGAAGAACACCGGUGGCGAAAUCGCUCUACUGGGCCCUAUCUGACACUCAGGGACGAAAGCUAGGGUAGCGAAUGGGAUUAGAUAUCCCAGUAGUCCUAGCUGUAUACGAUGCGAAACUAGACGUGUCUUGUAUCGACACGAGCCGUGUCGAAGCUAACGGGUUAAGUUUUCAGCCU